rnacentral:lncRNA from 1 species
CGCUCCCAGAGUACCACAGCUUGUAGCCAUCCACAUCCCUAGCCUUAGACCCUACCCACUUGGUCUCUUGGACACACGCAAUGUUGAUCCUCCUCUUCCUAAGAAUCUUCACAAGCUCUAUGGACUUACCCUGAAGGGUCCCUAUAUUCCAAGACCCAACCCUCAGUCUACCGUCACUCUCCACACGCCCUUCACUACCCCCUCCGAGGCCAAACCUUGGCCUCCCUCCCACUCCCGCCCUCUCCUCAUCCCCCGCCCCCACCACGACCCCAC